rnacentral:rRNA from 1 species
UUCCAGACUCCUACGGGAGGCAGCAGUGGGGAAUAUUGCACAAUGGGGGAAACCCUGAUGCAGCGACGCCGCGUGAGUGAAGAAGUAUUUCGGUAUGUAAAGCUCUAUCAGCAGGGAAGAGAAUGACGGUACCUGAGUAAGAAGCCCCGGCUAACUACGUGCCAGCAGCCGCGGUAAUACGUAGGGGGCAAGCGUUAUCCGGAUUUACUGGGUGUAAAGGGAGCGUAGACGGCGAAGAAAGUCUGAAGUGAAAGCCCGCGGCUCAACCGCGGAACUGCUUUGGAAACUGUGCAGCUAGAGUGCAGGAGAGGUAAGUGGAAUUCCUAGUGUAGCGGUGAAAUGCGUAGAUAUUAGGAGGAACACCAGUGGCGAAGGCGGCUUACUGGACUGUAACUGACGUUGAGGCUCGAAAGCGUGGGGAGCAAACAGGAUUAGAUACCCGAGUA